UGAUGAUGAUGACGAUGUUGAUUAGAGCGUGAGCGGUGACUAAUCGGCGCUUGCGUUUCCAGGUUACUACCUCCUCCAGCCGGGUCAUUCUGUGGUGAGAGGUGCUAAAGCUUUGGGCUCAGGUGUUGGGACGCUGACACAGAGACUCCUCACACUGCUGUGGACAAUUCUCUCAGCUCCAGUGAAGGCAGGCCGGGGUCUAAUUUGGGUUCUUGCCAGUGGCUGGUACCAUCUUGCCUCCCUCAUCUCUGUUCUCAACGUCUUCUUUCUGACACAAUGUCUUCCCAGACUCUGGAAGCUCCUGCUGCUUCUUCUGCCGUUACUGCUCCUCUUAGGUGAGUUUUUUUAAGAAUUGAUGUCAGCGCCUGAGCAAAAGAUUGGGAA